rnacentral:sRNA from 1 species
UUUUAAAACAAUAAAAUAACCUCAAAAGUUUGGGAGAUUUGCAAAACUACCCUUUUUUUACUACCUUUUGCAACAAUACCCUAUUGUUCAUUUUUAAAAAUAUCUCUUCCCUUGAACAGAAUGACCAAAUUACCCUCAUCUAAUAAGAACAUGUAAUUGGAAACUGAAAGUUUCCCGCCAAAUUUUUGGCGCCAAAAUUUAUUUUUCCCGCCAAAAAAAAAUUUCCGCCAAAAAAAAAAAUUCCCGCCAAAAUUUUUUCUCGUAAUUUUUUUUUCCCAGCCAGAAAAAUGCUUUUAAAAAUCCUUGUACAUUUUUUAAAAACUCUUUUAAAAACGUUGUAAAGUUUUUUAAAAGCUUUGAUAGUUGCUAAAAACCCUUGUAAAUCAUUUUAAAAUCUCUUAAAAUCUUUAUAAAGUCUUUAAAAACAUAGGUAAAUACUUUAAAACCCUUUUUUAAACCUUUGUAAAUCAUUUUAAAACUUUUUACAAGAUUUACAAUCGUUUUUAAAGCAUAAGUAAGUGGCAUUGAAUGAUUUACAAAGGAUUUUAAAAGCUUAUAAAAGGGUAAAACAUGAUUUACAAUCGUUUUAAAGCAUAAGUAAGUGGCAUAGAAUGAUUUACAAGUGAUUUAAAAAGUGUUUAUAUGGUUUACAAUCGUUUUAAAGCAUAAGUAAGUGGCAUUGAAUGAUUUACAAGGGAUUUUAAAAGGGGUUAACAUGAUUUACAAUCGUUUUUAAAGCAUAAGUAAGUGUCAAAUAAUGAUUUACAAGGGAUUUUAAAAAAGGUUUGCAUGGUUUACAAUCGUUUUUAAAUAAUAGGUAAAUGGUAUAGAAUGAUUUACAAAGAUUUUAAAAGCUUGUAAAAGGGUAAAACAUGAUUUACAAGAGUUUUAAAAGGAUUUACAAAGAUUUUAAACCUUUGUAAAUCCUUUUAAAACUCUUAUAAAGUCUUUAAAAGCAUUUUUUAACUCUUUUUGAACCAUUUUAAAAUUCUUGUGAACCUUUACAAAAGGAUUUAAAAAGAUUUUCAAGAGUUUUUAAAGGGUUUUCUUAUAAUUUCUUUUAAAAUCUUUUAAAAACUCUUGUACAUCAUUUAAAACCCUUUAAAAAUCUCUUGUAAAUCUUUUAAAACACUUUUAAACCCUUUAAAAAUCUUUAAAAAACUCUUGUAAGUCUUUUAAAGCCAUUUAAAAUCCCUUGUAAAUCUUUUAAAACUCUUUUAAAAUCUCUUGUAAAUCUUUUAAACCCUUUUAAAAUCUUUUGUAAAUAUUUUAAACCCUUUUAAAAUCUCUUGUAAAUCUUUUAAAAUAUUUUAAAACCCUUUUAAAAUCUCUUGUAAAUCUAUUUCCCGCCAAAAACAAAAUUUUACGGGAAAAAUGUUUUCGAAAAUUUUUU